AACUAAGUUAGUUAUUGGUAUGAGCUUUCGUGUGCAUGCACACUUCUUCAGAUACAAAGAAGUAUCUGAAGAAGUGUACAUGCACAUGAAAGCUCAUACCAAUAACCAGCUUAGGUGGU
rnacentral:miRNA from 1 species